rnacentral:rRNA from 1 species
AACGAACGCUGGCGGCAGGCCUAACACAUGCAAGUUGAACGCUCUAGCAAUAGAGAGUAGCGCACGGGUGCGUAACACGUGGGAAUAUGCCCUUCACUCCGGAACAACGUCGGGAAACUGACGCUAAUACCGUAUAAUGACUCCGGUCCAACGAUUUAUCGGUGAAGGAUUAGCCCGCGUCUGAUUAGCUAGUUGGUGAGGUAAUGGGUCACCAAGGCUACGAUCAGUAGCUGGUCUGAGAGGAUGAUCAGCCACACUGGAAUUGAGACACGGUCCAGACUCCUACGGGAGGCAGCAGUGAGGAAUAUUGGACAAUGGGCGCAAGCCUGAUCCAGCCAUGCCGCGUGAAUGAUGAAGGCCUUCGGGUUGUAAAGUUCUUUUAAUGGUGAAGAUAAUGACGGUAGCCAUAGAAAAAGCCCCGGCUAAAUUCGUGCCAGCAGCCGCGGUAA